CCACCAAGUCCCUCUUCAGUGUCUCUCCCUUCUUCUUGCCAGACUCCCAAAUGAAUUCCAUGUCCCUCGUCCCUCUUCCUCUGAUACCCACAAAAUGAAGCUCCUUCUUUGGGCCUGCCUCGUGUGCAUUGUUUUGGCCAAGAACGACCAUGGCCACAGACGACCACCACCACCACCGGGGCCUUCUGGAUCGCAUCAUAAACCCCCCUUCCAUCCUAGGCCCCCUGUCCAGCGGUUCCCCCUCCCCCUCCACUGCCCCCUGCCCCUCCGACUCCCCCUGCCCCCCCAGAACCCCCUGCCAUCCCAGGACUCGGGGCAUCCCCUGCCCCUCCAGCCCCUGGAAUGCACCCACUAGACCCAGCACCAAACGUACCCCCCACUAAUCCAGCCCCAGCAGCCCCCACAGCAUAGUGACGUUACCAUGGUUGGGUACAAUUGCAGACAGAAGAGGGCGCUGUUUCAGCACAUGCGGUACUAAAAGAGCCACAAGGAAGAUGGAAAUAAAUUGCUCUGAACGUUUCACCUCCAUGGAUGCUCUACUGCAGCACUUGUAGAUGAUAACACCUUUCUAACACAAUUAAACGCUCAAAUUUAUCCUCCACAUGCGGUACUAAAAGAGCCACAAGGAAGAUGGAAGUAAAUUGCUCUGAAAGUUUCACCUCCAUGGAUGCUCUACUGCAGCACUUGUAGAUGAUAGCACCUUUGUAGCACAAUUAAAUGCUCAAAUUUAUCUCCGCAUGCGGUAUUAAAAAAGCCACAAGGAAGAUGGAAGUAAAUUGCUCUGAAAGUUUCACCUCCAUGGAUGCUCUACUGCAGUACUUGUAGAUGAUAACACCUUUCUAACACAAUUAAGCGCUCAAAUUUAUCCUCCACAUGCGGUACUAAAAGAGCCACAAGGAAGAUGGAAGUAAAUUGCUCUGAAAGUUUCACCUCCAUGGAUGCUCUACUGCAGCACUUGUAGAUGAUAACACCUUUCUAACACAAUUAAACGCUCAAAUUUAUCCUCCACAUGCGGUACUUAAAGAGCCACAAGGAAAAUGGAAGUAAAUUGCUCAGAAGGUUUCACC